UACGUAGGGGCAAGCGUUGUCCGGAAUCAUUGGGCGUAAAGAGCGCGUAGGCGGCCCAGUAAGUCCGCUCUGAAAGUCAGAGGCUCAACCUCUGAAUGCGGUGGAUACUGCUGGGCUAGAGUCCGGAAGAGGCGAGUGGAAUUCCUGGUGUAGCGGUGAAAUGCGCAGAUAUCAGGAGGAACACCGAUGGCGAAGGCAGGUCUCUGGGCCACUACUGACGCUGAGAAGCGAAAGCAUGGGAGCGAACAGG
rnacentral:rRNA from 1 species